GGUAGUNCACGCCGUAAACGAUGAGUGCUAGGUGUUAGGCCCUUUCCGGGGCUUAGUGCCGGAGCUAACGCAAUAAGCACUCCGCCUGGGGAGUACGACCGCAAGGUUGAAACUCAAAGGAAUUGACGGGGGCCCGCACAAGCGGUGGAGCAUGUGGUUUAAUUCGAAGCAACGCGAAGAACCUUACCAGGUCUUGACAUCCCGAUGCUAUUCUUAGAGAUAGGAAGUUACUUCGGUACAUCGGAGACAGGUGGUGCAUGGUUGUCGUCAGCUCGUGUCGUGAGAUGUUGGGUUAAGUCCCGCAACGAGCGCAACCCUUAUUGUUAGUUGCCAUCAUUAAGUUGGGCACUCUAGCGAGACUGCCGGUAAUAAACCGGAGGAAGGUGGGGAUGACGUCAAAUCAUCAUGCCCCUUAUGACCUGGGCUACACACGUGCUACAAUGGUCGGUACAACGAGUUGCGAGCCGGUGACGGCAAGCUAAUCUCUGAAAGCCGAUCUCAGUUCGGAUUGGAGGCUGCAACU
rnacentral:rRNA from 1 species